GAAUGCUGACAUAAGUAACGAUAAAGCGGGUGAAAAGCCCGCUCGCCGGAAGACCAAGGGUUCCUGUCCAACGUUAAUCGGGGCAGGGUGAGUCGACCCCUAAGGCGAGGCCGAAAGGCGUAGUCGAUGGGAAACGGGUUAAUAUUCCCGUACUUGGUGUUACUGCGAAGGGGGGACGGAGAAGGCUAUGUUGGCCGGGCGACGGUUGUCCCGGUUUAAGCGUGUAGGCUGACUUUCCAGGCAAAUCCGGAGAGUCAAGGCUGAGGCGUGACGACGAGGCACCACGGUGCUGAAGCAACAAAUGCCCUGCUUCCAGGAAAAGCCUCUAAGCAUCAGGUAACAUCAAAUCGUACCCCAAACCGACACAGGUGGUCAGGUAGAGAAUACCAAGGCGCUUGAGAGAACUCGGGUGAAGGAACUAGGCAAAAUGGUGCCGUAACUUCGGGAGAAGGCA
rnacentral:rRNA from 1 species